rnacentral:miRNA from 8 species
UAUCAAGGUGGCUGGGAUUUG